rnacentral:rRNA from 1 species
UACGAAGGGGGCUAGCGUUGUUCGGAAUUACUGGGCGUAAAGCGCGCGCAGGCGGCUAUCCAAGUCAGUGGUGAAAGCCCGGAGCUCAACUCCGGAACUGCCAUUGAAACUGUUUAGCUUGAGGACGAGAGAGGUGAGUGGAAUUCCCAGUGUAGAGGUGAAAUUCGUAGAUAUUGGGAAGAACACCGGUGGCGAAGGCGACUCACUGGACACAUAUUGACGCUGAGGUGCGAAAGCAUGGGGAGCGAACAGG